rnacentral:rRNA from 1 species
UUGGAGGGCAAGUCUGGUGCCAGCAGCCGCGGUAACUCCAGCUCCAAUAGCGUAUAUUAAAGUUGCUGCAGUUAAAAAGCUCGCAGUUGAAUUUCGGGAUCAGAGUGUCGGUCGUGCCUCGGUACGCACUGGUAUUAUUGGUUCCUACCUUCUGAAGAACCGCGAUGUCAUUAAUUUGGUGUCGUGGGGAAUCAGGACUGUUACUUUGAAAAAAUUAGAGUGUUUAAAGCAGGCUUACGCUUGAAUACAUUAGCAUGGAAUAAUGAAAUAGGACGUUUGAUUCUAUUUUGUUAGUUUCUAGGAUUGACGUAAUGAUUAAUAGGGAUAGUUGGGGGCAUUAGUAUUCAAUUGUCAGAGGUGAAAUUCUUGGAUUUAUUGAAGACUAACUACUGCGAAAGCAUUUGCCAAGGAUGUUUUCAUUAAUCAAGAACGAAAGUUAGGGGAUCGAAGACGAUCAGAUACCGUCGUAGUCUUAACCAUAAACUAUGCCGACUAGGGAUCGGAUGAUGCUAAUUUUUUAAUGACUCAUUCGGCGCCUUACGGGAAACCAAAGUGUUUGGGUUC